CUCGUGAUGACUUUGUCUCUCCCUUUCUGAUCCUGGCGACGUUACCAUCUUUCAUCUCCCCGGUGUGCAGGCCCUGCUCUCCAGAAUAGAGCUGAGCCAGGACCGGGGCCCGGCACCUGCUGCUCAGGGGCGCGCGCGUACGUCAGACGGAAGGUCAGGAAGCCCCGCAGUCCUGCCCCCGGGCUCCCUCCUAGCACCCUGCCAAGCACGCUGCCCCCGGGCUCCGUCCCAGCACCCCGCCAUCGGGAGGCUGGCUGACUAGGACAAAGGCCUAGCUGAGACGGUGCCGCGGGUAAUGGGAGCAGAACCUCGGUGGCUCACCAGCUAUUUUCAUCCCUGAGGAGAAAGCAUCGGUGUCAGCGUUGAACCAGCUGCGGCUUCCACAGGAUGUCAGACGGAGACAGAUGCUUGUGCCCCAGCCCUCACCGCAUGGCCCGCCUCUGCAGGAGCCAAGGCAUCAGCUGUCUGCCCUUCUUCUGCAAACAAUGCCACACAAGAGACACAAUCACAGCUAACGGUUUGUUAUCAAGAGUGCCUCAGUCUCCCGUCUCUCUGCCUCCCCUCUGCCUCCACACCACACAUACAAUUUCCCUUUGGGAAACUGCUUUCUUUCUUUCCUCUUUCUUUCUUUCUUUCUUUCUUUCUUCUUCUUCUUCUUCUUCUUCUUCUUCUUCUUCUUCUUCUUCCUUCCUUCCUUCCUUCCUUCCUUCCUUCCUUCCUUCCUUCCUUCUUUCUUUCUUUCUUUCUUUCUUUCUUUCUUUCUUUCUUUCUUUCUUUCUUCUUUCUUUCCUUCUUCUCUUUCUUUCUUUCUUUCUUUCUUUCUUUCUUUCUUUCUUUCUUCUUUCUUUCUUUUCUUCUUUUCUUUCUUUCUUUCUUUCUUUCUUUCUUUCUUUCUUUCUUCUUCUUCUUUUCUUUCUUUCUUUCUUUCUUUCUUUCUUUCUUUCUUUCUUUCUUUCUUUCUUUUCUUUUUUUUUUAUCCAAUAA
rnacentral:lncRNA from 1 species